rnacentral:rRNA from 1 species
AUACGAAGGGGGCUAGCGUUGUUCGGAAUAACUGGGCGUAAAGCGCACGUAGGCGGAUUGUUAAGUUAGGGGUGAAAUCCCAGGGCUCAACCCUGGAACUGCCUCUAAUACUGGCGGUCUAGAGUCCGAGAGAGGUGAGUGGAAUUCCGAGUGUAGAGGUGAAAUUCGUAGAUAUUCGGAGGAACACCAGUGGCGAAGGCGGCUUUCUGGACCAAUACUGACGCUGAGGCGCGAAAGCGUGGGGAGCAAACAGGAUUAGAUACCCGUGUAGUCC